GCUUAGUUGGUAAAGCGCUCGUCUACCAUACAAGAGCCCUGGGUUCAAAUCCCAG
rnacentral:tRNA from 1 species